AUACGCAAUAAAAGAAUCAUAUUUUUCGGAAUUGAUUAUCUUUAAAUUAUACUUGAAUAUAUUCUGAUUCUAACUAGUAUUAGAUGCCAAUCAUUUUAUAAUUUUAAUAAUCUUGUGCUACCAUGUAUUAAGCCAUGUUGUUAUUUUAUAUUAUGUGUCAAAACAAGUUACUAGAGACAAUCUUUCAUCAUCUUGACAUCUUUAGCCAACAUAAUAUUUAAACAAGACUCUUGAACUCGAAACACUUUUAUGUUUACCUCCCCAUGGACAAGUAUGAAUAAAAAACCUCAAAGCAAAAAAAAAGGAAGGAACAAUCUGAUGAAAUUCAACUCAAGCUCAUGUUACUUGAAGAUUCUGAUGGAUGAUCAAGACGAAUAGGAAGAGGAACAAGUCACAGCAACAAGCAACUUACCCAAAAAGAUAUUUCUUGGUUUUUUUUACCUUAAAAAUUAUCGCAAUUCUCCUACGGUUUGCAGCUUUGAUCAUGGAACAAUAUUUUACCUUUUGGAACUGACAUUUUCAAAUAUUGAGUUAUAAUUGGAGAUAUAAAUGAACAUAUCUGACGCUAAUCCAUAUUCAUACAUCAAGUCCAAAGUCACGUUGGAUUUAUUGGAUUGGCCAGGAAUUAGGAUUAAAAACGAUUGCUACUGUUUAUGGUUUCAUCUUUACCUUUGGUUCAUUAAUUUUUGAUACUUCUCAUAAUUAGGGUUAAUCAUUGUAUCUUUAGAAUGAUCAACUUAUGAUUAGCAUUCAAGAUUAAUAUGUUCAGUUGAAUCUAGUUUGCCUUUCCAGAGUUUCCAGUCUUUUCCCUUCCAAUUAUUAUCUCAUUUAGUCAUCUUUAGCUGAUUGAUUAUCAUUAAUUAAGGAUUGUCAAUCUGUUAUGAUUACUAUUUAUCCUGAUUAUCGCAAAGAUGCUCAAGAAUUUUGAUUCAACAUUUUUAUUUUGACAAUAUGCGCCCAUUUGUUUCCAUCAACUGUGAUUAUCAUUAAGUCAUUUAAUACUUACAAAUGAUAAUCAGAUGAUGAAGGUUAAUUUAACCAUGUAAAGACACCAAAUCAACAGCCAAUUGAGGAUUGAAAUUAUGGUUGUAAUAUUUGGCUGCAAUUAAAAAAGUUGCAAGUUUGACGAGAGAUUUAAAGGAUAAAAGUAUAUUUGAUUUGAGCAAAAUAUGGAUGACAAUAACUUGAAGUGUAUAUCAACUGAUGAUAAUGGUGCUGACAAACUCCAGGUUGACUCACCAUCAAGUGUCAAGUGAUUUAAUAAGUCAACUGAUGAUAAUAACUAAAUUAAUUUCAUUUGAUUUCUUCUUCUAUUUUUUCUCCUUUUUCUCUCUCUUUAUUUCAGCUUUAAUCAUUUCUCGUCAAAGGGAAUCAAUUUAAGUUGACUUGAUUAAGUAUUAUUUUAGCUUCUUUGCCGGUGAAGCAUCUUGGCCCUGUUGUUAUCCCAGUUUCACAUUAUAAAUUGUUAUUUCCUUUCACUUUUCCCUCAUUAUAAUGUAACAUUUGCCCUUUACAUAUGUGACUUGAUUAAAUUGUUAAAAUAAA